GACGAACCGAGCGAACGUUGUUCGGCAUCACUGGGCUUAAAGGGCGCGUAGGCGGGUGAUCAAGUCCGGGGUGAAAUCCUCCAGCUCAACUGGAGAACUGCCUCGGAUACUGGUUUCCUCGAGGAAGGUAGGGGUGUGUGGAACGUUCAGUGGAGCGGUGAAAUGCAUUGAUAUUGAACGGAACUCCGGUGGCGAAGGCGCCACACUGGACCUUUUCUGACGCUGAGGCGCGAAAGCUCGGGGAGCAAACGGG
rnacentral:rRNA from 1 species